rnacentral:rRNA from 1 species
UAGUCCACACCGUAAACGAUGAGAGCUAGUUGUCAGCAGGCAUGCCUGUUGGUGACGCAGCUAACGCAUUAAGCUCUCCGCCUGGGGAGUACGGCCGCAAGGCUAAAACUCAAAUGAAUUGACGGGGGCCCGCACAAGCGGUGGAGCAUGUUGUUUAAUUCGAUGCAACGCGAAGAACCUUACCACCCCUUGACAUCCUCAGAACUUGUUAGAAAUAACUUGGUGCCUUCGGGAACUGAGUGACAGGUGCUGCAUGGCUGUCGUCAGUUCGUGUCGUGAGAUGUUGGGUUAAGUCCCGCAACGAGCGCAACCCUCAUCUUUAGUUGCCAGCAUUUAGUUGGGCACUCUAGAGAAACUGCCGGUGCUAAGCCGGAGGAAGGUGGGGAUGACGUCAAGUCCUCAUGGCCCUUACGGGUAGGGCUACACACGUGCUACAAUGGCGCUGACAGAGGGUUAAUCCCUAAAAGGCGUACUCAGUUCGGAUUGUCUU